AACGAACGCUGGCGGCAUGCCUAACACAUGCAAGUCGAACGGGAUCCUGGCUUCGGUCAGGUGAGAGUGGCGGACGGGUGAGUAACGCGUGGGAACCUGCCCAGUGGUGGGGGAUAACUGCGGGAAACUGCAGCUAAUACCGCAUGAGCCCGAGAGGGGAAAGAUUUAUCGCCGUUGGAGGGGCCCGCGUUCGAUUAGGUAGUUGGUGAGGUAACGGCUCACCAAGCCGACGAUCGAUAGCUGGUCUGAGAGGAUGAUCAGCCACACUGGGACUGAGAUACGGCCCAGACUCCUACGGGAGGCAGCAGUGGGGAAUAUUGGACAAUGGGGGCAACCCUGAUCCAGCAAUGCCGCGUGAGUGAUGAAGGCCUCGGUUGUAAGACUCUUUGUCCGGGGACGAUGAUGACGGUACCCGGAC
rnacentral:rRNA from 1 species